ensembl:lncRNA
CAGAUUUAAUAAAUAUGUUUAAUGAUACAAAGAAAAACAUUUUAUAAUUAUUCAAUUAAUACGUAGUAGAGAAAUGGAAGCCAUAAAAAAAGAGUCAAAUGAAGUCAGGAACUGUGACACAUACCGUAAUCCUAGCUACUGGGAAGGCUGAAGCAGGAGGAUUGCAAGUUUGAGGUCAGCUGGGGAAUUUAGUGAGACUGUCUCGGAAUUUUACUUUUUUGGCCACUGUGAGUCUGUUCACUAGCUCGGUUUCACUCUGCAGAGUGAACUUCUUUCCCACCUUCAAUAAAUGUACAUCUCCACUACGUUUUCCCUGUGUCUUGUCCAAGACACCAAGAACCUGGAAGGAAUUUCCCUGGGACCCACAUGUGGUAGCAUUUCUUGGUGAGCCAGCCCAGAGGCCCCAGAAGCCCCACAGGAAACACCCUGCGAUCCCAGCAACCUCAUCAUGAGGCUCCACCCUUCAAAGUGGAAAUAAAUGGACCCUGACUAUCUGAGAGAAAAAAACGCUCAUCUCCUAUUGCAGAACUGUUUGGUGCGGUAUGAACUCAGAAAUGGUGACAGAUGGGUACAGAAUUCAUCUAAAUCACAGCACUGUUCUUCAGCUAGAUCUAUUCUGCAAAAGGCAGGGACACUGGCGUGAAAUUCCUUGUGCUCAGGCUCUCAUGGCUCUUUAUCAGCAACUGCUUUCUGCGAAGGCCCAGGUGUGGCACUUGAAGAAGCCCAGAGAGGAGACUGAAGUCACUGAGGCCCCUUCUCAGCCCCCAUGUGUUUACAGAAGCAGCCACACCGGGAGUCUCCUUAGCCUAGGAAACCAGGCCACCCUCCCCAAGUGCCUCAGAAACCUCAGCUUCAGCCCCCCAGUCAGCUCUGAUCCAGGAAGGACACAGGCGGGGUGGAGUUUCCCACUCCUUCAACUCACAGUGCUCGGCCUCUUGGAGAGUCCCAAGGAGGGGUUCCGGCUCCAGGGCCCUUUUCCAGUACAGACACAAACAAGGCAAGGCACUCAGGCCGACUUCAGGAGACCCCGGAGGUUUGCAGAUGGGUUUCUGACUUUGACCCUUGCUCUGACCUCUCACACGGCGGAGACGUCCAGUUUGUCUCACCACUUGCUGUAGCCAUGAUGAAAAGCAGAGUCCUAGCAGAGGCCAGGAGAGAUACAGGUGAGCAAUUGCUGCUGAGAGAGUCACUGGAGAGGUUACUGUCCCUCUGACAGAGCCCAACGGGAUGACGGUACUCGGCUGAAGCAAGCAUGUAGUCUAAAAUGAUGACUGCUCUUACCGUGGGAGCAGAAAGAUGUGUUGAGAAACCUGUUAGACUGGGUGUGGUGGUGCACACCUGUAAUCCCAGCACUCAGGAGGCUGAAGCAGGAGGAUCACUGCAAGUUUGAAGUCAGCCUGGGCUACACAGUGAGUUCAAGGCCGGCCUGAGCUACAUAGAGGACCCUAUCUCAAAAAAGCAAAGGAAAACAAAACAACAACAAUCAAACAAGAAACCUGUUAAUUAUGAAAAAGUAAGGCAGGUUACACAGGGCAAAGAGGAAAAUCCAGCCAGAGAUUUUGUGCAAAGUACAAAACCUUCAGAUAGGUCCCAGACCCCUUUGACCUACUUGCUGGACACAGCCUUUUCUGUCUUCAACAAUCAGGACCUUGCCUAGUGUGAUGGCGCAUGCCUGUAAUCUCAGCACUGGGGAAGCUGAGGCAGGAGGACUGUGGUGAGUUCAAGGCCAGCCUGAACUACAUAGUGAGACCCUGUCUCAAAAAACUAAAAACAAAACAAACAAGACCUGGAGGAUAAAAAGGAGAGGAAUCCAGAAAAAAGGCAAGCUAAUCUGGCUGUCACGGUUGGUGGUGCUUUAAGCACAUCUGUUAUCCAAGGGAAAAUCCAGGCUAAAUCCGGGAAAGAGCUCCAGUUUUUUUAAAAUUGUACUGUAUUUAUUUGUUUUUUUUAAGAGUUAACUAUAUAUAUUUUAAUAUUACAAACCAUAUUUACAAAUGUCUGCACAAAACAAUUUUCCUUACAUUUUUGGUAAGAUGCAGCAAUGGGGAAUAUUUUAGUAUAUUUUACUUUCCAUUGCAAACAUGAAACCUUUGAAAAAAGAAUCGACAUUUCCAUAUGAACCUACAUCAUAAAGAAAAUACAUAAAUACUUUCUAAAUGUAGAUAAAUACACCAUCUGCUUUUUUGUGAAAGUCCUGGAAAUCACAUUUUUCUACGCAGAAUCAGAGUUUGAAAAAUAAUAAUCUUUCUCUUCUUCAUCUAAAGAUUCCAUAGCAUUAGUGAAAAGUUUUCCAAUACCAGAGUUUUCUCCUAAAUCUCUGUUAAACAGCGUUUUUCUUGUUGGGCUUGAGGAAACAGUUUCAACUCUUUUUUUUCUUAACGUUGCCCCAGGCAAUGCCAUCAAUACUCCUAUGAUUUUUUUGUAUACUAGAAACAUAUUUAUCAUAAUCAUUCCUUUUUAUAGAGGCUAGCAUGCCAGGGCUGACGUGCUGACACUGAGGACACUUUUGUGUUUUUGAGACAGGGUCUCCCUAUACAGUGCAUGUUGGCCUUGAACUCACUAUGUAGCUCAGGCUGGCCUUCAACUCCAAGUGAUCCUCCUGCCUCAGGCUCCCAAGUGCUGGGAGUACAGGUGUGCAGCACUACACUGGCAAGGAGCCUUUUUCUAUGUGGACCCAAAGGCCACAAGACUUCUACAGUAUAUAAUUAAUCCAAGCCAAGUACAAGUGCUCAUUAAAACAAAACUUGGAGGGCCACAGGUUUAGCUCAGUGGUUUCUCCUCCUGCCUCGCAAGGGCAAGGCAGGCGCCAGAACCACUGAGCUAAAUCCCCGGCCCCCAAGGUCCCGAGUUCGAUCCCCGGUACUGGAAAAAAACCCCAUAAAAAAAGAACCCCCACAGACCAAGUAGAACCACAACCGAGGCCUUUUCAGUGAGCCUUGGUACCCACUGAAGUAAAGGUGGCAGGAACCCGGGGUGCACUCACCUUUCAGGAUAAAGCCAGCCCCACCCGAACUGUCUGAGGCAAAGGACCACGCAAACGAAGGAAGUUACUCCUGUGGCCCUCUGGAAGAUCCGAGGCUCCUCGUCAAAUAGCAGGGCACCGGUUCUCAGGGUGGGGGAAGUGGAGUAAUGAAGACCCCCACCCACCGCAGCUUGGACGCGCACCUGUGCCAGGGCUCAGGCUUUUGACUGGACCCAUGGUGUGGGUGGUCUUGCUAGGCU